ACUCUAUCUCCUCCAUGAUCGCGUGAGCAACACCGUCGGAUGAAUCAGACGAAGAACCGUGGUCGGAUUCCGCCAUUGUCGGAAGAAAAAAGAAGAAAAGGCUUGAAGUGUAGAUUGAAAGAGGAGAAUUGUGGAGUGAAAGUGAGGAAGAAGAAGGAGGAAGAUGGAAUAUAAAGAGAAAAAAAAAUUUUAAAAAAAA
rnacentral:lncRNA from 1 species